GAUGAACGCUGGCGGCGUGCCUAAUACAUGCAAGUCGAGCGAAUGGAUUAAGAGCUUGCUCUUAUGAAGUUAGCGGCGGACGGGUGAGUAACACGUGUGUAACCUGCCCAUAAGACUGGGAUAACUCCGGGAAACCGGGGCUAAUACCGGAUAACAUUUUGAACCGCAUGGUUCGAAAUUGAAAGGCGGCUUCGGCUGUCACUUAUGGAUGGACCCGCGUCGCAUUAGCUAGUUGGUGAGGUAACGGCUCACCAAGGCAACGAUGCGUAGCCGACCUGAGAGGGUGAUCGGCCACACUGGGACUGAGACACGGCCCAGACUCCUACGGGAGGCGGCAGUAGGGAAUCUUCCGCAAUGGACGAAAGUCUAACGGAGCAACGCCGCGUGAGUGAUGAAGGCUUUCGGGUCGUAAAACUCUGUUGUUAGGGAAGAACAAGUGCUAGUUGAAUAAGCUGCACCUUGACGGUACCUAACCAGAAAGCCACGGCUAACUACGUGCCAGCCGCCGCGGUAA
rnacentral:rRNA from 1 species